GGUUUUGUGAGAUUACGUUGGUGGUUUAUAUAGAGAUGGUUGUGGUUGGGAAUUGAUGAAUGAAAUAAAUUUUAUUUAUGGUCUUCAAUGUCGUGGUCAAAGGAUGUGAGAAUGGUUGAAGAGUUUUAAUGGAGUGUCCAACAUGCAACGGACAUGGCGUUGAAAAGGGAUCAAGUGACAUUAGUACAACAUAGUGCAUGUGAACGGUAAUGUAGUGGUUGUUGCCACUUUUUAUGUGUGC
rnacentral:lncRNA from 1 species